AGUCGAGCAACAUACACCAUCAGUCGAGCAACACACUCCAGCACCACAAAAUCAGCAUACACCAACGACGGCGCAACAACACAUUCCAACAUCGGUUCAACAGCAUAGCCCUACAACAGUUCAGCUUACGCAAUCGUCAAUACACACGCAAGCAACGCAAAGUACGAUAAAUGUACCAAGCACGUUAACUCAUGUCCCAAACACAAUAACAAUGUCUACAACAACAAAACCGACAACAACUACACCGACAACAACUACACCGACGACAACAAAACCGACAACAACUACACCGACAACAAUUAUAUCGACAACAACUAUGCCGACAACAACAAAACCGACAACAACUUCACAGACAACAACAACAACAAUACCUACAACGACAACAGAGCCCCCAGCCAACAGCAAGGUGUUACAGCUCUAGCAAGGACUCGGACACUCAGUCCGUCAUUGGUUGUUCGGACGAAGCUCCAUACUGUCUCAAUAGCUUGACAAAUUAUGUAAAUGGAAAAACCGAGGUCGAAAAAGUUUGCGCAAGCGCCGGUGAAUGCUAUUGGAUGCCGCGAGAGUCCUCCUCCUUCUACUGUCGCACGUACUCGUCUUCCCACAAAUACUUCGCCGAUUUCAUGUGUUCUUAUUGCUGCACUGGAGAGCUCUGUAACCGGGACACAGUGGCAUCCCCUGACAGUCCAUAUCUCCCAACAGUAAUUCCACCCAACCCUAUCACCAAUCCUCCAGUCAAAACAACUGAUUGUUACGUAUGUGAUGAUUGUCAAGGCGCCGGAACUUUGUCAACGUGUACCGGAAGUACCCCAUAUUGUCUAAAUCAUUACAGCAACUCUCAGUGGGGUGUAUCGCACGUAUCAAAACGAUGUGGUACGAAACAAGAAUGUCACGACCAAUACUACGAGGGCUCUAGACAUCAGCUACUGUGCUCCCUGUUCCAUGAACACAUUUCUGAGAACAUGCAGCUAGAGUGCACGUUUUGUUGUACCUCUUCAUUAUGUAAUGAACACGCGAGGCCACCCCCGGACACUUUGUACAAAGAAUGACUUUCGCGUUGGUAAACUAAUGCUGAGAAAUAAAUAUACGUUAUUC
rnacentral:misc_RNA from 1 species